rnacentral:lncRNA from 1 species
GGCAAAUGUAGUACCAAAGUUGGGCCUUGCCAGACCAGCUUUAAUCUAAAACGAAUUAUCAAGGGGGUCCCCAUAACAACCCCGAUCGUGUUAGGAGCUCUCAUUUAUGGAACAUAACACCGGUAGCCGAAACUAAGGGGGCAAAGGUGGAACAAAACACCAGGCUAGAAAGGCCGAGCCUUCCACCUUUUACCAAGUAUAUAGGUGC